CAGGAUGAACGCUGGCGGCGUGCCUAACACAUGCAAGUCGAACGAAGCACUUCUGGUUGAGAUUCGUCAAGAACUGGAUUUGACUUAGUGGCGGACGGUGAGUAAUGUAUGAGCAACCUGCCUUUCAGAGGGGGACAACAGUUGGAAACGACUGCUAAUACCGCAUAAAGUAUUUUAAGGGCAUCCUUGAAAUACCAAAGGAGCAAUCCGCUGAAAGAUGGGCUCAUAUCUGAUUAGUUAGUUGGCAGGGUAACGGCCUACCAAGACUGCGAUCAGUAGCCGGACUGAGAGGUUGAACGGCCACAUUGGGACUGAGAUACGGCCCAGACUCCUACGGGAGGCAGCAGUGGGGAAUAUUGGGCAAUGGGCGAAGCCUGACCCAGCAACGCCGCGUGAAGGAAGAAGGUCUUCGGAUUGUAAACUUCUUUUAUGAGGGACGAAGGACGUGACGGUACCUCAUGAAUAAGCCACGGCUAACUACGUGCCAGCCGCUGC
rnacentral:rRNA from 1 species